rnacentral:rRNA from 1 species
UGAGUACGAGAUGCUACGGCGUCGAAGCAGUCUAGGUCAUACUUCCAAGAAAAGCUUGCACUGUCAUAAACAAAGAAUGCCUGUACCAUAACCGACACAGGUGGGUAGGUAGAGUAUACUAAGGGGCGCGAGAUAACUCUCUCUAAGGAACUCGGCAAAAUGACUCCGUAACUUCGGGAGAAGGAGUGCCUUAUUUUUAAGGUUGCAAUAACAAGAUCCAAGCAACUGUUUACCAAAAACACAGGUCUCCGCUAAGUCGUAAGACGAUGUAUGGGGGCUGACGCCUGCCCAGUGCCAGAAGGUUAAAGAAGUUGGUUAGCAUUCGCGAAGCUGAUAACUGAAGCCCUGGUGAACGGCGGCCGUAACAAUAACGGUCCUAAGGUAGCGAAAUUCCUUGUCGGGUAAGUUCCGACCCGCACGAAAGGCGUAAUGAUUUGGAUACUGUCUCGGAGAGGGGCUCGGUGAAAUAGACUUGUCUGUGAAGAUGCGGACUACCUGCACCUGGACAGAAAGACCCUAUGAAGCUUUACUGUAACUUGAGAUUGAAAUUGGACUUUAUUUGCGCAGUAUAGGUGGGAGGCGUUGAGAAUAAUCUUGCGGGAUUAUCGGAGCCAUCAGUGAGAUACCACUCUUGUAAUGUUAGAUUUCUAACUUUGUAUCAUUAUCUGGUCAAAGAACAGUUUCAGGCGGGCAGUUUGACUGGGGCGGUCGCCUCCCAAAGGGUAACGGAGGCGCACAAAGGUUUCCUCUGAACGGGUAGAAAUCGUAUCUAGAGUGUAAAGGCAUAAGGAAGCUUGACUGUGAGACCUACAAGUCGAGCAGGGACGAAAGUCGGUCUUAGUGAUCUGACGGUGCUGAGUGGAAAGGCCGUCACUCAACGGAUAAAAGUUACUCUAAGGAUAACAGGCUGAUCUCCCCCAAGAGUUCACAUCGACGGGGAGGUUUGGCACCUCGAUGUCGGCUCAUCGCAUCCUGGGGCGGUAGUACGUCCCAAGGGUUGGGCUGUUCGCCCAUGAAAGCGGUACGCGAGCUGGGUUCAGAACGUCGUGAGACAGUUCGGUCCAUAUCCGGUGUAGGCGUUAGAAUAUUGAAAGGAGCCUUCUCUAGUACGAGAGGACCGAGAAGGACAUACCUCUGGUGUGCCAGUUAUCGUGCCAACGGUAAACGCUGGGUAGCUAUGUAUGGAGUGGAUAACCGCUGAAAGCAUCUAAGUGGGAAGCCCACCUUAAGAUAAGUAUUCGC